rnacentral:rRNA from 1 species
AAGUCGAGCGGUAACAGGGGAAGCUUGCUUCUCGCUGACGAGCGGCGGACGGGUGAGUAAUGUAUGGGGAUCUGCCCGAUAGAGGGGGAUAACUACUGGAAACGGUAGCUAAUACCGCAUAAUCUCUAAGGAGCAAAGCAGGGGAACUUCGGUCCUUGCGCUAUCGGAUGAACCCAUAUGGGAUUAGCUAGUUGGUGAGGUAAUGGCUCACCAAGGCGACGAUCUCUAGCUGGUCUGAGAGGAUGAUCAGCCACA